GAAGCUUCGACCAGGGUUCGAUUCGAGCGUUAGCGAGAAAGCGUUGCCGCAGGCAACGACCCGAAGGGCGAAGCGCGCAGCGCUGAGUAAUCCUUCCCCCACCACCA
rnacentral:sRNA from 1 species